GUGUGUACAUACAUAUACACAUACAUAUACUAAAAUUGGAAUGAUACAGAGAAGAUUAGCAUGACCCCUGCGCAAGGAUGACACGCAAAAAAAAAAUGUGUGUGCGUGUGUG